UACAGAGGUCUCAAGCGUUGUUCGGAUUCAUUGGGCGUAAAGGGUGCGUAGGCGGCGCGGUAAGUCGGGUGUGAAAUCUCGGGGCUUAACUCCGAAACUGUAUUCGAUACUGCCGUGCUUGAGGACUGGAGAGGAGACUGGAAUUUACGGUGUAGCGGUGAAAUGCGUAGAUAUCGUAAGGAAGACCAGUGGCGAAGGCGGGUCUCUGGACAGUUCCUGACGCUGAGGCACGAAGGUCAGGGGAGCAAACGGG
rnacentral:rRNA from 1 species